CCUACGGGCGGCUGCAGUCGAGAAUCAUUCACAAUGGGGGAAACCCUGAUGGUGCGACGCCGCGUGGGGGAAUGAAGGUCUUCGGAUUGUAAACCCCUGUCAUGUGGGAGCAAAUUAAAAAGAUAGUACCACAAGAGGAAGAGACGGCUAACUCUGUGCCAGCAGCCGCGGUAAUACAGAGGUCUCAAGCGUUGUUCGGAAUCACUGGGCGUAAAGCGGGCGUAGGCUGUUUCGUAAGUCGUGUGUGAAAGGCGCGGGCUCAACCCGCGGACGGCACAUGAUACUGCGAGACUAGAGUAAGGGAGGGGGAACCGGAAUUCUCGGUGUAGCAGUGAAAUGCGUAGAUAUCGAGAGGAACACUCGUGGCGAAGGCGGGUUCCUGGACAUUAACUGACGCUGAGGCACGAAGGCCAGGGGAGCGAAAGGGAUUAGAUACCCGAGUAGUC
rnacentral:rRNA from 1 species